rnacentral:rRNA from 1 species
GGAAACGACUGCUAAUACCCGAUGUGCCGCAAGGUGAAAUCUAAUUGGCCUGGAGAAGAGCUUGCGUCUGAUUAGCUAGUUGGUGGGGUAAGAGCCUACCAAGGCGACGAUCAGUAGCUGGUCUGAGAGGAUGAGCAGCCACGCUGGGACUGAGACACGGCCCAGACUCCUACGGGAGGCAGCAGUGGGGAAUUUUCCGCAAUGGGCGAAAGCCUGACGGAACAACGCCGCGUGAGGGAGGAAGGUCUUUGGAUUGUAAACCUCUUUUCUCAAGGAAAAAGUUCUGACGGUACUUGAGGAAUCAGCCUCGGCUAACUCCGUGCCAGCAGCCGCGGUAAUACGGGGGAGGCAAGCGUUAUCUGGAAUUAUUGGGCGUAAAGCGUCCGCAGGUGGUCAGCCAAGUCUGCCGUCAAAUCAGGUUGCUUAACGACCUAAAGGCGGUGGAAACUGGCAGACUAGAGAGCAGUAGGGGUAGCAGGAAUUCCCAGUGUAGCGGUGAAAUGCGUAGAGAUUGGGAAGAACAUCGGUGGCGAAAGCGUGCUACUGGGCUGUAUCUGACACUCAGGGACGAAAGCUAGGGGAGCGAAAGGGAUUAGAUACCCCUGUAGUCCUAGCCGUAAACGAUGGAUACUAGGCGUGGCUUGUAUCGACCCGAGCCGUGCCGAAGCUAACGCGUUAAGUAUCCCGCCUGGGGAGUACGCACGCAAGUGUGAAACUCAAAGGAAUUGACGGGGGCCCGCACAAGCGGUGGAGUAUGUGGUUUAAUUCGAUGCAACGCGAAGAACCUUACCAAGACUAGACAUGUUGCGAACCCUGGUGAAAGCUGGGGGUGCCUUCGGGAGCGCGAACACAGGUGGUGCAUGGCUGUCGUCAGCUUGUGUUGUGAGAUGUUGGGUUAAGUCCCGCAACGAGCGCAACCCUCGUUUUUAGUUGCCAGCAUUAAGUUGGGGACUCUAAGGAGACUGCCGGUGACAAACCGGAGGAAGGUGGGGAUGACGUCAAGUCAGCAUGCCCCUUACGUCUUGGGCGACACACGUGCUACAAUGGUCGGGACAAAGGGC